AAUAUCUCUCUGCGUUCCUCUCGACAUUCAGCCGCCGCCGAGAAAAAAAUUUUAGAUCCGAGGCUAGAUCGCGUUGGCUUCCAUAGCAACGGAUCUGGCCUCCCUCUGCUCUGUUUUAGUUUCGUUUUUGUUCUCUUUUUCGUUUCGUUGGGUUUGUAUUUAGAGGUUCGUAAAGGCAAGUUGAGUUCUUGGUUGCUGUGGUUCGAUUUCGGCGGAGCUUUUAGCCGGUGGAAGGGGUGAGUGGUGUUUUGGAUUGGUGGUUUCUUCUCCUUGUUGUGGCAUGGCCUUCGAUUUUGGUCUCUUCUCAAAUCAUGAUUUUUCGAGAAGGAAAUCGGUUCUUGUGGAGGAGAUAGCGUCGGGUUUCGAGGUGAUGUUUAAGGAGAGGCAUGGUUCUCGGAUCUGUUAGUGGUGGCGGAGGUUUUGUGUCUCGGUAGUGGAGGUCUCUUCGUUGUGGGGUUUCUCUCCGGUGGUUUUUGGGUGGUGGCUAAGCUUCUCCGGUUUUUGGCUGCUGGUGGUUUCUAGUUAGACGCUAGUGGACGCAGCAGUCGUCAGCAGUCGUAUUCGGAAGUGUGCUCGAGGUUCCCUUAACUCUUUUGUCUCGCUUGCCGGGUUAUGAAGUCUUGGUUCUUGGUUUCGAGAGAUCAGCUCUCAUCGUGAUAGGAGGAGGUAGAUGUUAUUUUCGGGUUGGCCGCGGGCAUCCUUGGUAAGUCUCAAUCGCAAGUGCUUCAGAAGUUUUGGGUUACUUGUUUUCUUGGGUCUAUUGUUUCUUUUAAGGUUUAUGCCUUCGGCUUUUUUCUUAGUUUUUGGUUUCGACCUCUUGCGUUUGUGGUUUGAAAUCUUUUGCUUUUCUAUGUUUAGUUUCCCUUCGUUAGGGCCUAGUUUUCGGGGAAAUCUCGUCUUCCGCCGGCUUUGUCUCCGGGGACUUUCAUGUUGUCCGCCGGCUUUAGUUUCCCUCUUUUGGGCUUUGUAUUUCACCUUGGUUCCAUUACAAGAUCAAUAAUAAAAUUCUAGAUGACAAAAAAAAAAA